rnacentral:rRNA from 1 species
UCGGAAGAUCAUACCUAGAGUUGUAGGCUUUGCCUGCUAUCUCUUACCCAUGUCUUUUGAGUACCUUACGUUUCCUCGGUGGGUUCGCCCACCGAUUGGACAAAUUUAAACCCUUUGCAGUUGAAAUCAGCGUCUGAAAAAACUUAAUAGUUACAACUUUCAACAACGGAUCUCUUGGUUCUGGCAUCGAUGAAGAACGCAGCGAAAUGCGAUAAGUAGUGUGAAUUGCAGAAUUCAGUGAAUCAUCGAAUCUUUGAACGCACAUUGCGCCCCUUGGUAUUCCAUGGGGCAUGCCUGUUCGAGCGUCAUUUGUACCUUCAAGCUCUGCUUGGUGUUGGGUGUUUGUCUCCUGUAGACUCGCCUUAAAACAAUUGGCAGCCGGCGUAUUGAUUUCGGAGCGCAGUACAUCUCGCGCUUUGCACUCAUAACGACGACAUCCAAAAGUACAUUUUUACACUCUUGACCUCGGAUCAGGUAGGGAUACCCGCUGACUA